rnacentral:rRNA from 1 species
GCCCCGAGAUGAGUUCUCCCUGACCCUUUAAGGGUCCUGAAGGAACGUUGAAGACGACGACGUUGAUAGGCCGGGUGUGUAAGCGCAGCGAUGCGUUGAGCUAACCGGUACUAAUGAACCGUGAGGCUUAACCUU